rnacentral:rRNA from 1 species
CCUAACACAUGCAAGUCAGGGGCAGCACAAGGAGCAAUCUGAGGUGGCGACCGGCGCAACGGGUGAGUAACACGUAUGCAACCUGCCUGUAAGCGGGGAAUAACCCGUUGAAAGACGGACUAAUACCGCAUAAUACUAAAUUACUGCAUGGUAAUUUAUUUAAACAUUUAUGGCUUACAGAUGGGCAUGCGCAUGAUUAGCUAGUUGGAGAGGUAACGGCUCCCCAAGGCAACGAUCAUUAGGGGUUCUGAGAGGAAGGUCCCCCCACACUGGUACUGAGACACGGACCAGACUCCUACGGGAGGCAGCAGUGAGGAAUAUUGGUCAAUGGACGAGAGUCUGAACCAGCCAAGUCGCGUGCAGGAAGAAUGUCCUAUGGAUUGUAAACUGCUUUUGCAGGGGAAUAAAGUGCAUCACGUGUGAUGUUUUGUAUGUACUCUGCGAAUAAGGAUCGGCUAACUCCGUGCCAGCCGCGGC